GGGAUGGAAACUGCUGAUCUAGAGUAUCGGAGAGGAAAGUGGAAUUCNUAGUGUAGCGGUGAAAUGCGUAGAUAUUAGGAAGAACACCAGUGGCGAAGGCGACUUUUCUGGACGAAAACUGACGCUGAGGCGCGAAAGCCAGGGGAGCGAACGGGAUUAGAUACCCCGGUAGUCCUGGCNGUAAACGAUGGGUACUAGGUGUAGGAGGUAUCGACCCCUUCUGUGCCGGAGUUAACGCAAUAAGUACCCCGCCUGGGGAGUACGACCGCAAGGUUGAAACUCAAAGGAAUUGACGGGGGCCCGCACAAGCGGUGGAGUAUGUGGUUUAAUUCGACGCAACGCGAAGAACCUUACCAGGUCUUGACAUUGAUGGACAGAACUAGAGAUAGUUCCUCUUCUUCGGAAGCCAGAAAACAGGUGGUGCACGGUUGUCGUCAGCUCGUGUCGUGAGGUGUUGGGUUAAGUCCCGCAACGAGCGCAACCCCUAUCUUAUGUUGCCAGCACGUAAUGGUGGGAACUCAUGAGAGACUGCCGCAGACAAUGCGGAGGAAGGCGGGGAUGACGUCAAAUCAUCAUGCCCCUUAUGACCUGGGCUACACACGUACUACAAUGGGAGUUAAUAGACGGGAGCGAGAUCGCGAGAUGGAGCAAACCCGAGAAACACUCUCUCAGUUCGGAUCGUAGGCUGCAACUCGCCUACGUGAAGUCGGAAUCGCUAGUAAUCGCAGGUCAGCAUACUACGGUGAAUACGUUCCCGGGCCUUGUACACACCGCCCGUCACACCACGAAAGUCGGAAGUGCCCAAAGCCGGUGGGGUAACCUUCGGGAGCC
rnacentral:rRNA from 1 species